rnacentral:lncRNA from 1 species
UAUGAAUUUAGACACUUUAUAACCUCUGUUUUCAAACUUCUAGGAAUGUUGUCUGAAGAUCAGCUGGAACCUCYCCAAACUGAACUGCCAAUGUGUUCAUCCCUGCUGAGCGGUACAUGAAGUUCUCUGAAGCAUCUCCAGUUCCACUUUCCAAAGUUUCACAAGAGACUCAGGCAAAGCAACAGUGAAGAAUGGUGGCGUGUGAACAGUUUGGGAGCCCACCUACUCCUUGCCCCGCUGUAUGAGAGACCCAGACAGAAAGCUCACCUGCCCCUAGACAAGGACUGGUUUUAAGAUUGCURAUGCUGGCAACAAGUCUUGCUCUGGACUGCUGUGASUGCUGCCUGUCAUCCGCACCAAAUCAGGAUGAAGAGGAUUUUUAGAAGUCAAGACUCUUGAGGGAAGCAGCUGUUGAGUUCUUCCCAACUGAAGACCCAAAAUUCUCAACAUGUCUUCUAGUUUUGCGACGUGGCCUGGAGUUUCUGUCUGCUUGCGAUCUGCCCUGCCUCUGCCCAGCGCUGCCUCUUGCCUUUCCCUGGAGAUGAAGCUCUCCUUGUAGACAUAGCUACAACUGGGUGAGUACUGGGGGAAGGUGAAAGCUGCUUGCUGUCUGUUGCUAGCGCUUGCUCGUGCAAGUUCAGCGUGAGGCAGGGUUUCCAAGGGGAGACUGUCAACCCCCUUAGGUUUUGUAGACCUGCUACAUCUCUCAUUGCAGGCACGAACUCCACCAAAUCGCUGUGC